ACGCGCUGUUUACAACAUAAUGGGGUGGGCGAAACCAUGUGCUGUAGUUUUACACACGGGCACAGACCGGCCGUAAAAGACGGUUCGGGCCAUUCGCAGGCUGGACAUCGCUCUACACCCUUGCCGAACAAAACAACACCCGAUAUUCCUGUUCUUUUUCCAGAAGCCUGGAAAAUUAGUUGUAAAUAUUGAUUUUACCGCAAAAACAGUGCUUUUAGCUUUAUUUGGGCAGCAGUGUAAAUCGACUUCAAUUUGUGUGAAAUGCUUUUAGUAAGUCGCCACGAAAUUGAAUUUUGUAUGAAGACUACACGAAACUGUCGACAUUAAUGUUGAGCUUGAGUAUAGCAACCUCCACACCGGGCGUAUUUCUCCUUGAGCUUCCAGUUGCUUGCUUCGUCAGGUUGGCUUUGUGAUAAUGACAAAACAUUUCGAUAGGCUAAGACUGAAAACCGUACCCCUACCACCAGAGUAGACGAACUCAGCCCGCGGGACCACCAGAGCUGCAACGCUCAGCCCAGCGGGAGCAGAGAGCGGCAAACACGGCCUAACAAGUACAACCAAUGCAGUCCACAAACCUGAAAGCAGUGUUAAUGGCUUCAGUGUGUGUAAAAUGCUUCAGUACGUCGUCGCCAUAGAGUGAGAACUGAACUUUACGAAAUGCCUGCCGACAUUGAUGUUGAGCUAGAGCGACCAGAGGCUCCGGGGAAAGGGUCCCAGCUUUCUUUGAAGAAAGCUGUAGCAACCCUCCGCACCGGGGCUUAUUUCUCUGUUGAGCUUCCAGUUGCUUGCUUCUUCAAGUUGGCUUCAAUGUGUCACUCUUAUUAGUUGGAUCCCGAUGACAACGGGAAGAAAUACCGACUUGCGAAGGCGGUACUGAACAACGGUCCACUGCAAGAGCAGACGACCCAGCCCACAGGACCAGAGCAGACCUGGCUGCUGCAAGGAUUGCUGCUGCCGCAGUGUGAAGUAACAUUCCUCAAAGCUAUCUGCGUUCCCCAGCAAGAGCAGACCCACCCAGUCCAGCACCGUCC